rnacentral:rRNA from 1 species
AUGGCGCUCUUCAGGGCUUCUACCAUCAUCUCCUUGGGCAAUGGGAGAAAAUCCUUAUUCUGGCUCGAUGACUGGACAGGACGGGGCCCUCUGUCCCGGGCCUUCCCGGAGCUGUACAAAAUUGCCACCAGGAAGCGAAGAUCUGUGAUGAAGGAGCUACAAGAGGAGAACUGGAUCAGAUCGGUUGCCCGUCUUUCAUCGCCUACCCACCUGCAGGAGUUCAUUGCCCUCGCUUCAGUUAUCACUCAGGUGGCGUUGAACCCGGACCAGGAGGACUCCAUCACUUGGCGGUGGACCCCCAAUGGCAUAUACUCUGCUGCUUCGGCCUACGCGGCCCAGUUCUCUGGAUCCUAUCCCAGGUUCUCCCCGACCAAGAUUUGGGAGGCACAUGCUGAGCCAAAAUGUAAGUUCUUCGCCUGGCUUGUGCUCCACGGGAAGAUCCUCACGGCCGACAUGCUAGCCGUUCGUGGCUGGCCGCACGACCCUUGUUGUUCCCUUUGCCUUCGAGCUCCGGAGACGGCCACUCAUCUCUGCAAGGACUGCCCAUUUGCCGCCGCAGUUUGGUCUCACGUCCAGGUCUGGACGGGAGAGGACUCUGGGGCCACGCCCACGUUGCCCCCUUCGAUGGGGAUUUCGGAGUGGUGGGAUUCGCUCACCACCAAUCUGCCCAAGAACGUCAAAAGAAGGCGGAGCGGCCGCUUCCUUUACACCAUCUGGAACAUUUGGAAGGAGCGAAACCGACGCAUCUUCAAUGGAACUCGCCUCACGCACCUCGAGGUUGCAGCUAUUGCCUUCGAAGACAUCAAGCAAAGGUCCCGGGCCUUUGGCCGGGCACAUGUGGCAACCGGUAUUGGCUGA